UUGUAAUAUGACAGGAAAGAGGGUCAGCACUCCCCUUGUCAAGGAUGGAAGAGACUCUCGAUCCUGACAACAUGCACACGGUUAAGACAUUGCCACCUGCUUCAUAGCAUCUAACCAUCAUUAAAA
rnacentral:ncRNA from 1 species